UAUUACUUUGGUUGACUUGAUUUUCCAUAAUCUCUUCUCAUAAUUCAUUCUUUCAAGACAAAGAAAACCCCUACCCUCUCUCCUUCUUAUCACCUGAAAAAUUUCAUGAAAACCAUCAAAAAUUUCCACUAAACCAACCAGCAAAACUCGUUCUUGGUGAAGCUCAAGUUGCUCUUCUCUUUUGUGGUAAUAUACGGGAUGAAAAUUGAAGACGGCCUUAUGAAGUAGUCUUUUUAAAAGCAAUUAUGGAGAUCACAUUUGCAUAUGCACCUUGGUUUUGUAUAGUUUUGGGGCAUGUACAUGAUAUAUAUAUGUCACACUUAUGUAUGUUAUUUGGAGGCUUGUUUGAUCUUAAAACCAAAAUCUUGUAACUUGAAUUUGAUAACUUGUUUUGUUGUUUUAGGGUGUGUUAAUAACUCAAGUCUUGUAAUAUACUGAAUUUACACUUUGUCUUAUAAUUAUGUACAAAGGAGAAAACUAGUUUUCUUUUUUA